GUGAGGAAUUUUCCGCAAUGGGCGAAAGCCUGACGGAGCAAUGCCGCGUGAAGGAUGAAGGCCUAUGGGUUGUAAACUUCUUUUCUCAAAAAGAAUUAUGACGGUAUCUGAGGAAUAAGCAUCGGCUAACUCUGUGCCAGCAGCCGCGGUAAGACAGAGGAUGCAAGCGUUAUCUGGAAUGAUUGGGCGUAAAGCGUCUGUAGGUUGUUUAAAAAGUAUUCUGUCAAAGAUUAGGGCUUAACCCUAGAUAGGCAGAAUAAACUUUUAAGCUAGAGUUUGGUAGAGGCAGAGGGAAUUCCCGGUGGAGCGGUGAAAUGCGUAGAUAUCGGGAGGAACACCAAAGGCGAAGGCACUCUGCUGGGCCAAUACUAACACUGAGAGACGAAAGCGAGGGGAGCAAAUGGGAUUAGAAACCCUAGUAGUCC
rnacentral:rRNA from 1 species